CAGGUUAUAAAGGACUUAUUGCCAGGCAAAAAGGGAGUAAAGAGAAAAGUUGAAGGGUAUCCUUGUAAAUUCACGGCCUGGCUCUUGUUUGCACCAAAUGACAUCCCAGCCAAAAGCAUCUGUGAUGUUGUCAGUAGACUCCUGUUGCUCUGUGAACACCAUGGAGAACUUGACAGCAAUAUAAGACAAUAUAAAACACAGCUACUUGCCAACUGGUUCAGAUGAUACUUCAAUACCAGAUGCACUUUUAGUCCCGUACAUGAAACGUUUGGAUGUUAUUUGUGUCUAUAUGAAUUGAAGCCACUAAUACUCUUCUAGAGCAGUAACUGCACACCAGGAAGGACAAGACAAACAUUAAUCAAGGAAUAGAGUUUCCCCAAGCUUGCAGAAUGGAAAGUCUGUUUACACAUCGUUUCCAUACGCCUGAAUGGGCUUCUUCACCAGAAGAGAUGGAAUAAGACAUGGAGAGCCACAACUUCCUUUCUCAAGGACCUGAGAGCCAUCCUUCGAAAUGAGAUUGUCCAGGCAGACAGUACCCCUAAAUCUCAGUCUCUGUGGGACAGAGGAAGCUUCACUGGGGUGGCCGCCUUGCUCCAGCUUGUAAAACCCACUUCCUGUUGCAAAGUGGAAGUUUUACUUUUCCUCUGGGUGAAGCCAAUUAGCAAAUACAGAUGGCCUCAGGUCUCCCCGACCCAGCUCUAAGAAACUCUCCUGACCUCUGUUUCUGAGGAGAUGCCAUCUGGACUUGGUCUGUGUUCUCUCUCCUAUCUCUGGAAAUAG
rnacentral:lncRNA from 1 species